rnacentral:rRNA from 1 species
GUCUAUGGCCAUACCACCUUGAACAUGCCAGAUGUCACCUGAUCUCAGAGGCUAAGCAGGGUCAGGCCUGGUUAGUACUUGGAUGCGGGGACUGCCUGGGAAUACCGGGUGCUGUAGGCU